rnacentral:rRNA from 1 species
AAUUUAAGAUUUAUUUUUCGGAGUUGAAUAAAAUAUUUUUUUUUAUUAGUAUUUGGUUAGAAAUUAAUUUUUAAAUGAUAGUUUACAUGUAUUGUGAGAGUUAAUUUAAAUAUGAUGAAACAUUAGUUUGUUUAGAAGAAUAAUUAGGAUUUUGUACCUUGUGUAUCAGGGUUUAUUAAAAAUUGUUUAUUUAAUUAAUGAUCUCGAACUAUAAAGAGCUAAUAACUUAUAUAUUUAAUUGUAGAAUAAAUUUUUGUAAUAUAUUAUUAGGAAUGAAAUGUUAGGCGUUUUUUAGGAUAUCUAGUUGUUUAAGAAAUGAAUUUAAUUCAGCAAGUUAUACUUAUAUAAUUAAAUAUUUAAUUGUUUAAUAUAAUUUAGUAAUAUUUUAGGGGAUAAGCUUUAAAAUAAAGGUUUAUAAAUAAUUGGAUGGAACAAAAUUUAGUAGGAUUGAAAAUUUCUUUUUUGUUUGUUAUAAUUAUUUUUUGUGUUUAUAAUAUUUUUAUUGGUAUUUUAAUUUUUUUAUUGAAAUAAUUAAUUGAUUUUUGUUUUUAUUGUAAUAAUGAUAAAAUUAGUAUAUUUAUUUGUAAUAGAUUAUAAGUUUAGUUGCCAGGUUAUAUUAAGGAACUCGGCAAAUAUAUUUUCCGCCUGUUUAUUAAAAACAUGGCGUUUUGAUUAUAAUUUAAGGUCUGGCCUGCCCAAUGAGUAGUUGAAUGGCCGCGGUAUUUUGACCGUGCAAAGGUAGCAUAAUCAUUAGUUUUUUAAUUGAAAGCUGGAAUGAAUGGUCGGACGAGAAAAUAACUGUCUCAGUAUAAUUUUGUUAGAAUUUUAUUUUUAAGUUAAAAAGCUUAAAUAUGUUUAAAAGACGAGAAGACCCUAUAGAGUUUUAUACAUGUAUAUUUAUUGGUUUUAUAGUAUUUUGAUGCUAAUAUUUAGUAACGUAUUUUGUUGGGGUGACAGAAAAAUUGACUAAACUUUUUCUAAAAUUGAACAUUUAUUUAUGAUUGUUUGAUCCAUUAUUUAUGAUUAUAAGAUUAAAUUACCUUAGGGAUAACAGCGUAAUUUUUUUUGAGAGUUCUUAUCGAUAAAAGAGUUUGCGACCUCGAUGUUGGAUUAAAAUUAAUUUUUGGUGCAGAAGCUGGAAAAUUGGGUCUGUUCGACCUUUAAAAUUUUACAUGAUCUGAGUUUAAACCGGUGUGAGCCAGGUUGGUUUCUAUCUUUAAAUUAAGCAAAUAUUUUAGUACGAAAGGACCAAAUAUUUAUAAUAUUUAUUUAGUUUAUGUAUGUUAAUAAUAG